CCGUGCCAGCAGCCGCGGUAAUACGGAGGGUGCGAGCGUUAAUCGGAAUUACUGGGCGUAAAGCGCAUGCAGGUGGUUUGUUAAGUCAGAUGUGAAAGCCCGGGGCUCAACCUCGGAAUUGCAUUUGAAACUGGCAGACUAGAGUACUGUAGAGGGGGGUAGAAUUUCAGGUGUAGCGGUGAAAUGCGUAGAGAUCUGAAGGAAUACCGGUGGCGAAGGCGGCCCCCUGGACAGAUACUGACACUCAGAUGCGAAAGCGUGGGGAGCAAACAGGAUUAGAUACCCUGGUAGUCCACGCCGUAAACGAUGUCUACUUGGAGGUUGUGGCCUUGAGCCGUGGCUUUCGGAGCUAACGCGUUAAGUAGACCGCCUGGGGAGUACGGUCGCAAGAUUAAAACUCAAAUGAAUUGACGGGGGCCCGCACAAGCGGUGGAGCAUGUGGUUUAAUUCGAUGCAACGCGAAGAA
rnacentral:rRNA from 1 species